UCAAAAGGUGAGACACAAUGAAUCGUAUUUUAUACUUAAAAUUUUGAAUUUUUAAAGUAUGUAAGGAGACGGGAGAAUUUAAACUUGAACUUAGAUGAUCAUAAUUCACGUCUAUAGUGAUAUUGAACCCCGACUUAAAGUUACGAAUAUUGGGCCCAUAUCUUAUAUAUAAAUUGAAUUUCGAAAUUAGAAGUAUUAAAAAAGUACGACUAUAAUUUGCAAUUUGAACGGGA
rnacentral:lncRNA from 1 species